rnacentral:rRNA from 1 species
AGACUCCUACGGGAGGCAGCAGUGGGGAAUAUUGCACAAUGGGCGAAAGCCUGAUGCAGCCAUGCCGCGUGUAUGAAGAAGGCCUUCGGGUUGUAAAGUACUUUCAGUUGUGAGGAAGGGGGUAGUGUUAAUAGCGCUAUCUCUUGACGUUAGCAACAGAAGAAGCACCGGCUAACUCCGUGCCAGCAGCCGCGGUAAUACGGAGGGUGCGAGCGUUAAUCGGAAUUACUGGGCGUAAAGCGCAUGCAGGU